GGGGGCGCAUUGGCUUCGACUGGAGCAUGGUGGUGCCCGCCGCAAGUCGGGGAUUGGGUAGGUCUUCCCCGUUAAAAAGCCCGCCCAAAAAUAAAGAACAACAAUACGUUGGCUCUCGCUGCCUAAUUAACGGCACGACGUUGCCGCCCUGACCUCCACUGGGGGACGGCAACGACAUCAGUGGGGCGACUCGGCUGGUGAGUGACCGACCUUCCGCGGCGAAUUAACGUGGUGACUACGGUGUCGGGGUGAGCUGCGCCACAACCCGGCAUCCGACAAAUUCAGCGCGGACAAACUUGUAGAAGCGGUCAAGGCCUUGAUCUAGGACGCGGGUUCGACCCCCGCCGCCUCCAC
rnacentral:tmRNA from 1 species